rnacentral:sRNA from 1 species
UCAGGAGCCAAGAUGGCGGCUGUGGUCGCACUCUCCUUGAGGCGGCGGUUACCGGCCACAACCCUUGGCGGAGCCUGCCUGCAGGCCUCCCGAGGAACCCAGACAGCUGCAGCCGCAGCUCCCCGUAUCAAGAAAUUUGCCAUCUAUCGAUGGGACCCAGACAAGGCUGGAGACAAACCUCAUAUGCAGACUUAUGAAGUUGACCUUAAUAAAUGUGGCCCCAUGGUAUUAGAUGCUUUAAUCAAGAUUAAGAAUGAAGUUGACUCUACUUUGACCUUCCGAAGAUCAUGCAGAGAAGGUGAGCAUUUCAUUCCUGUUGGGCUCCAGAUACUUGUGGUCUUCCAAAGAGGCUUUGGCUGGCCAAAGCUGAUAGAGACAUCUGGAAAACAGCUGCAGCUCCUUGCUGGGUGAACUUGCUGUGCAACCUAAUUCCUUUUCUUGGGUAAAUGCAUCCAAAAUUCUAACCAUGGUGCAAGUUCUGGUUUCUGAGUUUACUUUCCUUCAGGAGCAUUCUAUCCUGUGGUUACUGCAUCUGGCGGUCCCUGUGAGCUGCUCCAUGCCUCAAGGCCUAGCUAGGACCUGCUGGCUGGCACCUUCCGUGCUGCUGAGCUCUUUUAUUAAGGGAGCAGUGGAGAGUUUCUGUCUGGCACUUACGCUUGUCCAGCAGGGGAGAUGUGCGAGUCUCCCUCAGCUCCCAGCAUGACAUGUCCUUGGUAGCUGUGUUCUGGAUUGGUUGGUACAGUGUCUCCCUCAGCAUGUGGUUACUUGUGCUGCUGGUGCCACAUGAGCCCAUUUGAGGCAGUGUGCAGACUAACAUUUUCUACAUCA